UUGUUCCCGAUUUGAUUGUUGCUCAGAAAGCCGUGAAUUGAACGUCGACUUUCGGGCAUCAAUCAAAACGGGAGGCG
ensembl:miRNA pma-mir-315 pma-mir-315